rnacentral:rRNA from 1 species
CCUACGGGAGGCAGCAGUGAGGAAUAUUGGUCAAUGGGCGAGAUCCUGAACCAACCAAGCAGCGUGAGGGAAGACGGCCCUAUGGGUUGUAAACCUCUUUUGUCGGAGAAUAAAAUCCGGGACGUGUCCCGGACUGUGUGUACCUGAUGAAAAAGCAUCGGCUAACUCCGUGCCAGCAGCCGCGGUAAUACGGAGGAUGCGAGCGUUAUCCGGAUUUAUUGGGUUUAAAGGGUGCGUAGGCGGUCCGUUAAGUCAGCGGUAAAAUUGCGGGGCUCAACCGCGUCGAGCCGUUGAAACUGGCAGACUUGAGUAGGCGAGAGGUACGCGGAAUGCGCGGUGUAGCGGUGAAAUGCAUAGAUAUCGCGAAGAACUCCGAUUGCGAAGGCAGCGUACCGGCGCCAGACUGACGCUGAGGCACGAAAGCGUGGGGAUCGAACAGGAUUAGAUACCCGUGUAGUC